rnacentral:rRNA from 1 species
AACGAACGCUGGCGGCAUGCCUAACACAUGCAAGUCGAACGAGAUCUUCGGGUCUAGUGGCGCACGGGUGCGUAACGCGUGGGAAUCUGCCCUUUGGUUCGGAAUAACAGUUGGAAACGACUGCUAAUACCGGAUGAUGACGAAAGUCCAAAGAUUUAUCGCCAGAGGAUGAGCCCGCGUAGGAUUAGCUAGUUGGUGUGGUAAAGGCGCACCAAGGCGACGAUCCUUAGCUGGUCUGAGAGGAUGAUCAGCCACACUGGGACUGAGACACGGCCCAGACUCCUACGGGAGGCAGCAGUGGGGAAUCUUGCACAAUGGGCGAAAGCCUGAUGCAGCGACGCCGCGUGGGGGAUGAAGCAUUUCGGUGUGUAAACCCCUUUCGAUCCGGACGAAACCCCGCAAGGGAUUGACGGUACGGAUAUAAGAAGCCCCGGCUAACUACGUGCCAGCCGCCGCCGUAC